CUUCCUCUCCCUAGAACUCUCCUUCCUCCCCCUAGAACUCUCCUUCCAUUUCAAACCCUAGAAUUCUAUCUCUUUGUUUCGUCCAAAUCGUUCAAUGGGAUUUCGAAAAAGAAGCUUUGAUCUGGUUCCUUCCAACUCCCCUCGUGCCAAAUUUCAACCCCGAUCUACAGAGAGAUAAAGAGAUGGCGGAUGAGAGAGAGGACGUCGAACUCGUACUUUUCUUGAAGUUCUACCUUCACUUCGUCAAUUGUGAUUGUUAUUGAAUAUUCAGAAGAAUGGAGUUCACGGAUGCUUAUAAGCAGACUGGGCCCUGCUGUUUUUCUCCCAAUGCUCGCUACAUUGCUGCUGCAGUUGAUUAUCGUCUGGUGAUUCGAGACGCUCGGUCAUUUAAGGUGCUAUAGUUGUCAAUUUGCUAUUUUUUUCAUUUUCUACUUACUAUUUCUAGACUUAUGUACUGGAAUGUUAGUUUCUCGUUCCCGCAAACUGUUUCUUUGGCUCUAUUCUAAGUUCUGAUCACUUUGUACUUCUUCAUUAAAGGUUAAACAAAUUGUAAGGAUAUUGAGAAGUUAGAACUUGGGAACGUUUAUGACUUUAUAAAGUAUCAUUUUUGUUACUGGUGCUUACUUGUAUGGGUGUAUAAUUACAGUCUUCCACUUAAUCUAUGUUAACAUUUGAGAAGAUAUGAAAAUAGAUUGGGUUACAAGACUCUCCCAUAAAUUAAGAGGAGAAUUUGGACCACGUACAAGCCUAAGUUCAUGCA